UACGUAGGGCGCGAGCGUUGUCCGGAUUUAUUGGGCGUAAAGCGCUCGUAGGCGGCUUGUCGCGUCUUUCGUGAAAACUCACAGCUCAACUGUGAGCUUGCGGUCGAUACGGGCAGGCUAGAGUUCGGUAGGGGAGACUGGAAUUCCUGGUGUAGCGGUGAAAUGCGCAGAUAUCAGGAGGAACACCGGUGGCGAAGGCGGGGCUCUGGGCCGAUACUGACGCUGAGGAGCGAAAGCGUGGGGAGCGAACAGG
rnacentral:rRNA from 1 species